AUUGAACGCUGGCGGCAGGCUUAACACAUGCAAGUCGAACGCGUGGCGGACGGGUGAGUAAUUUUUGGGACACUUCCCUCUGGCGGGGUAUAACUACUGGAAACUGUAUCUCCUCCCGCAUCCCCUCGGCUUUUCCCAGGUGGUCUUAGCUAGUUGGUGGGGUAACGGCUCACCUAGGCGACGAUCUCUAGCUGGUCUGAGAGGAUGACCAGCCACACUAGGACUGAGACACGGCCCAGACUCCUACGGGAGGCAGCAGUGGGGAAUAUUGCGCAAUGGGGGCAACCCGGACGCAGCCAUGCCGCGUGAAUGAAGAAGGCCUUCGGGUUGUAAAGUUCUUUCGGUAGCGAGGCGUUAAAUACAGAAGAAGCACCGGCUAACUCCGUGCCAGCAGCCGCGGUAAUAC
rnacentral:rRNA from 1 species